rnacentral:rRNA from 1 species
GAAGCGAAAGUGACGGUACCUGCAGAAAAAGCGCCGGCUAACUACGUGCCAGCAGCCGCGGUAAUACGUAGGGCGCAAGCGUUAUCCGGAAUUAUUGGGCGUAAAGAGCUCGUAGGCGGUUUGUCGCGUCUGCUGUGAAAUCCGGAGGCUCAACCUCCGGCCUGCAGUGGGUACGGGCAGACUAGAGUGCGGUAGGGGAGAUUGGAAUUCCUGGUGUAGCGGUGGAAUGCGCAGAUAUCAGGAGGAACACCGAUGGCGAAGGCAGAUCUCUGGGCCGUAACUGACGCUGAGGAGCGAAAGGGUGGGGAGCAAACAGGCUUAGAUACCCUGGUAGUCCACCCCGUAAACGUUGGGAACUAGUUGUGGGGUCCAUUCCACGGAUUCCGUGACGCAGCUAACGCAUUAAGUUCCCCGCCUGGGGAGUACGGCCGCAAGGCUAAAACUCAAAGGAAUUGACGGGGACCCGCACAAGCGGCGGAGCAUGCGGAUUAAUUCGAUGCAACGCGAAGAACCUUACCAAGGCUUGACAUAUACGAGAACGGGCCAGAAAUGGUCAACUCUUUGGACACUCGUAAACAGGUGGUGCAUGGUUGUCGUCAGCUCGUGUCGUGAGAUGUUGGGUUAAGUCCCGCAACGAGCGCAACCCUCGUUCUAUGUUGCCAGCACGUAAUGGUGGGAACUCAUGGGAUACUGCCGGGGUCAACUCGGAGGAAGGUGGGGAUGACGUCAAAUCAUCAUGCCCCUUAUGUCUUGGGCUUCACGCAUGCUACAAUGGCCGGUACAAAGGGCUGCAAUACCGCGAGGUGGAGCGAAUCCCAAAAAGCCGGUCCCAGUUCGGAUUGAGGUCUGCAACUCGACCUCAUGAAGUCGGAGUCGCUAGUAAUCGCAGAUCAGCAACGCUGCGGUGAAUACGUUCCCGGGUCUUGUACACACCGCCCGUCAAGUCAUGAAAGUCGGUAACACCUGAAGCCGGUGGCCUAACCCUUGYGGAGGGAGCCGU